AUACGGAGGGUGCAAGCGUUACUCGGAAUCACUGGGCGUAAAGCGCGCGCAGGCGGUCUUUUAAGUUGGAUGUGAAAGCCUACGGCUCAACCGUAGAACUGCAUCCAAAACUAUUAGACUAGAGUGUGAGAGAGGAAGAUGGAAUUAGUUGUGUAGGGGUAAAAUCCGUAGAGAUAACUAGGAAUACCAAAAGCGAAGGCAAUCUUCUGGAACACUACUGACGCUGAGGCGCGAAAGCGUGGGGAGCAAACAGUAUUAGAUACCCUAGUAGUCC
rnacentral:rRNA from 1 species